rnacentral:rRNA from 1 species
UACAGAGGUCUCAAGCGUUGUUCGGAUUCAUUGGGCGUAAAGGGUGCGUAGGUGGCUUGGUAAGUCGGAUGUGAAAUCCCGGGGCUCAACCCCGGAACUGCAUUCGAUACUGCCAGGCUGGAGUACUGGAGAGGAGAUUGGAAUUUACGGUGUAGCAGUGAAAUGCGUAGAUAUCGUAAGGAAGACCAGUGGCGAAGGCGGAUCUCUGGACAGUUACUGACACUGAGGCGCGAAAGCGUGGGGAGCGAACAGG